AUAAAAUCCGUGCCAUUUGAAGCAAAACCGACUUUUGCCGAUUUUUAUGUUCCCAAGGGAUCUCACGAAUUUCUAUGGUUCGUGCGUCACGAGCUCGCAAAUAUUUGAGCCGUUUAUUUGAGCCAAAUUGACACCGUGGAACAAAAACUCGUUUAUUAGAUAUUAUCGCGAAACGAAGCAAGGAGGAACUCGUAAUUGGAGAAGAACAUCCAGGAGGAACGAUCGCCAAGUCUGUUGGAAGAGUACUAUGACGCAUGAUCGUUGGGUUGAGGACACAAGACAUCACUAUGACGUAACUGAGCUAGGCGAGAAGACCGCGCGUCCUUGCGCUACUCGCGGCACUUGGGCCAAUUAAAGCAUUCAAGAGACUAAUCAAUUGUGUACCGACAAGUUGUUUGCAAGGGCUUAUAAAAAGAAGCGGAGAAAACGAGCUACGAUCGUUUCGUCGACGAUCUUCUUCCUUGAACAUGAUCGAAUGUAUCACUUGUUGGCAAGAUGAAAGAGAUCCGUAACUGUGAGCCAAUCCCUGUGGCACCAGAGAUGGAAAGGAUGAUACAUUUUCUCGAUUAGAACCCAAUAAGUUACUCCUCUCAUUUACGUAUUCCAUCGAAACCAGGUCAAUAUCGAGAAAUACUCUCAUAUUCUAACAAUAAUAAUCAAUACUAGGUUGAUGAAGUCAUUAUUGAAACACUGAUGCACUCGUCGUUUCGUGCUAUUGUACGCUUUUAAUUUUGUAGCUCGAUCCACUCUGCAAAAUUUAUUUCCAUUUUCUCCAAAUUCUGCUUCUUCUCCUUUAAUUUUAAUUAUAGAUAAUUUGAUAAUUUUUAAGUGUUUCUGUAUUUUGUCAUUCUGUUCUGGUUCUCCAUUGACCUAAUUCUGAUAUCAUCAAAGUUUUCCAUUUAAAAAAACCAACUUUAUUCUGAUACCACCAAAACUUUCCAUUAGAAAUAUUCUCCUCUCAAAGUUUUCCUCUACACUUAACAAAAGUCCGGUUUUAUUCAGAUACUUCUGUCAUAGAAGAAUUUUAUAAAAAAUAUUCUCUUUUAAGUCUUCCUGUAUGAUUCGUUAAAAAACAAUUUCUUCUGGCAUUUUCACUGCCGAAGGUUCCUAUAAAAAUUUGUCUUUUUCAAGUCCUCCUUUAGAACCAACGAAAAACCAAUAAUACCUUUCGCGUGACACUCGGAUCACGUGCAUUCUUUCACAAACAAGAAAAUUAGUCACGAAUCCGACGUUUACGUUUACGGAAUGUUUCGCACGUGUCGCGAAUUACACAAUUCCAGUGAUUUAUUUCUCGUUAGCACAAUUUAUCACGUCUUCCAACGGAGCAGCAAAAAGCUAAACGUACUUACGUCAAUGGUAAAAAUACUUUUACGCAACAAAUUCACUCUAUUUUAUUGCAAUCAAUCACCGAUAAAAAGCAAAACAGAAAAUGAAGUUUAUUUCUAGAGGGAAUUUUUGGGAGAUUCCAAAUAAAAAUCAAAAAGUCAAAGUUUCAAUUUCAAGUUGCCACUGUUGGAAAAACUUCGUGUUUUAAUAAAAGUUUUUACAAGAAUUCACAGUUUAUUCCACGAUAUUCUUAUAUAGGCCAAGCUGGUGCACAAAUCAACACGAAUUGAUCCAAAGUAUGUUGGUUAAUUAAGAGUCAGCCAGUUAACUUGCAGCGAUAAGUGCCAAUAUUUAUACCAUAAUCUUCGUUUUAUCUGAACAGUCUAAUUUCAGCCAAUUUUCAGAUGAUCUUAUCGAGACAGCUCCUAAGGAAUGUAUCUGGAAGCAACGAUACCAAACGAAAGCUCUGCUCGAGUAGACGUUCAUUGCCCCUCAUCAUUUCGUUCUUCGUAUCUAUGAAAAGUAUUCGAGAAGCAAAUAGAACAAAUAACGCCGGAGAUACACAGCGAAUCGAAUCUUCGAGGGGAAAUGUUGAUCUUCAAUUGCGUUUUAAAAGUGUGUUUAAUUGUUCGAGAUAAUAGCUCCCUAUAUUUUCUGUAAGAAUUCUGUAAGAAAUUAAAUCUUCGAGAAAGUAUGUUGAUCCUUAGCUGCGUUUUAAAAUGUGUAUAGUUGUUCGAGAAAAUUGUCUUCUGUAUUUUCUGUAAAAAUUCUGUAUUAUUUUAGUGAAAAUUGGACAUAGAAUGUUGAGGUAAGAUUCACUUAUCUUCUUAUAUAAGCUUUUUUCAAAGAUCUUUGAUUCCUUGAUGUGAGGAUUCUUUUUCCUAUUUGGUAAUUUUGCUUUCUGUACUAUCUAGAGAAAUUGUUAUUAUUUUGUAGAAAUUGGCUAUCGAACAUUUGGUUGAGAGAUAUUAGAAUUUGAAAUUGAUAUAAAAUUUCUUGUUUCACUUACGAUUCGUUUAAAUUUUCUCCUUCUUAUGGAAAAUUCUUGUUUUAUGCUAUUUGCUGGUUUUAUGAUCUCUGUUAUCCACAGAAAUCAAUUUUAUUUUAUGGAAUUUUGGUAGAAAGCAUUUGACUUUGGUUUUGAUAAAAAAUUUCUUUUUUCUUCUUAUAAAAGAUUUAAUAUAAAAAUUGUUCUUGUUAUAAAGGAACGUAAUGAUUCUCUUUCCUUCUAAAUUUUAAUAUUCUUCUAUUUUAAUUAAUCGACACUGACUUCUCUGGUGAAAAACAUUAUAAUUCUAAAUUUAAUACGAAUCAGUGAACUACAGCGUGAUAUUUUUCUCAUUAUAUCGUUGAUGUGUUCUCAUAUCCAUGUUCUGCUCCCAUUACAUUCAACUUAGAUUUUGUUUGACCGAUCGCUGUACACGAGUUGUUGGAUCGUUGCCUCUGUUACUCGUUACACAAACUUAAUGGAGUUACCGGUGUUUUCCAGCAGAAAAUUGAAGCUAACAUGUGGUUUAUUUCUUCGACGCGUAAUUCACUAGUUUUCACCGAUCGUCAUUCGUUUUUCGAGCACUUAAAAGAAUCUUUAAUCGCUCAAACUGGAGCUACGAGUUAGCUCGAUUGAUCGCGAUUAAUCACCGAUCGAACUGACCAUUUAAUAUUGUUUUCACGAGGUACAACAAUAUUUCAUACCUUGUACACUCUGCACGACACUUAUCAUACUGUUCUAUACGUAUAAACAGAGACAAUUAUUGAUCUUAUCUUAUCGACAACGUGUUGUACCAGUAUUUCGUAAUAUGAAACAAAUCAUGCUAUUGGUAUUUUUUUCUCAAUUAAAAAAUCUUCCACUCGUCGAUAUCAUAUUUUCAAAUUCAUCCUAAGGGAAAAUAUUUUUCUGUUUCUUAUUUUGUCACAAUUCUUCGACAGAAAAAGAAAAAGAUUCUUUUCGUGCAAUCUUUCGUUGUAAGAUUGAGUAAAUAACGAUUGGAUAUGAUAACAAUAACAACGACUCGACGCCGUCAAUUAAUUUAAUUUAUAUUUAAAGAGCUAAGUAUUUUAGGAAAUUUAUAUUCAUAGAGCGAAACAUGCGGAUGUUUAUGCAAACUGAUAUUUCUACAAAUAUAAUUAAAGCUAUAAGACCUAUAUAAAAAAUUGUUUCAUCCAAAUAUAAUAUAACAUAUAUCACAUAUAAUAUAACAUCGACAAACAUAAAUAUUAUAACGGGUUCUAAUUUCUGGAUAUUUUAUGUAUUCCUGCAGAUUAUGUACAGAUUUACGUUGUUUAAAAUCCGCGUGAACACAUAAAAACCCGCAGGCGAAUUACAGUAAAUAGAAAUUUUACUUGGCACAAUGCAAGAGCAUCGCAUCUUAUCGCUUACUGAAAAAUAAUUUUAAAAACCGAAGUGAAUCAAAUAAAUGGUCAAUUAUCGCUACCUUGUGGCAGCUGUUACUGAUAAUUCCGCGAUAAAAAUGUGGUCGUUCGUAAUAGAUAUGAUAUCGAAUAAAAAAUAACGGAUAUCCAAAGGAAAUUGAUUCGUGGAAUAUCGAAUGAAAGAGUAAGCGCGACAGUGAUAUAAUUCUAUCCGUGAAUAUGAAUGUCUCAUGUUUGUGAUUGAUCAUAAAUGUUGUGUUACAGUUUUCAGUAUUAAAUUUUAAAAACUUCUGUCUAUGAAUAUGAAUGUUACAUAUCCAUGAUUUGAUCAUGCAUUUCGUAUUACAAUUUCCAGCAUUAAAUUCUAAAUAUUUCUCUGAUGUAUAGGAUUUAUGUAAAUGUUUUUAAUGUGUUACAUAUCUUCAAUAAUAUUAUGGUGUCCUGAUAUCAUCUGAUCCUAAACUACAAACUUGAUAAAUGAGAUUCAUCGUCCUACAGAGGCAUUUAAUCAAAAUUAGACUUUGGAGAAAGAUUGUACAUUUCAUAAUAGCUAUAAAGACAGCUGCUUGAGAUCAGGUUGGGUAAAAUAAUUCGUCCUGGCACCCAAUGACAUUCACAACCGAUAGGUAUCUCGUAAAAGCAUUUUUGGCAUCAUAUUGCUAUGCUAUGACCACUCGUUUAUUAUCGUUCGCUAAUCGUUAAACGAUUAUCGUUAAUGAUUCACCAUACACUAUUUAUACAAUAGACCAUUUUGCAACACUAAAAAUGAAAAGACCAAUUCGGUUACGAGCAAAACCAACUAAACACUGACAUAUAAAUGAUGACCGAUGUCCAUCAUUUUCUUUGACAUCCACUGGAGCAAUAAGAAGAGCUUGCUAUUUAUUAAAAACACACACGAUUAUAUCUAUAAAUAUCAACAAGAUUGUUUACUAGUAUAAACAUCUACAAGAAUUUCGAGUUAUCCACGAAAGCGUUAAAUUGAUCGUGAAAAAAAUUACUCGAGGGAAUCCUUGGAGCUUUGACACGUGAAUGACAGACGGCAUUCUGCGUUGAGAUUAAUCCUACGAUAAUCAACGAACACGUCGACCGUGAAUCUUCCCUCUGGCAGCGACUUCACACCCCCUUUGUGCUACAAAGAGGAAGUUAAAGUUCGACUCUUCUGGCACACGAUUCAAUCUUCGAGGGAAUCGAGACGGUAAAUCACUGUCGCACCCAGUGUUCUUCGUGUAUUGGCACACUGUCGAAGGUAAACGAAAAUAGUCGUGCCCCUCUAACGUGUAAAAUUCUAGCACAUAGGAAGAUGUUCGACGAUAUCGAAUUGUUGUUCAAGAAAGCAAUGAUGAUGGUUGGAUCGAGAAGAUAGCUGUAUACAAGAUCAUGAAAGUAUUUGACCGUCUGUAGACGAUAUUGAAUCGUUGUCGAAGAAAGGAAUGAUGAUGAUUGAUCUCGAAGGAAGAUUCGAAGCUAUAUACAAGAUGAUGAAAGUAUUUGAUCGCCUGUAGACGAUAUUGAAGAAUGAAAUGAUGAUGAUUGAUCAAGAAAGAAAAUUCGAAGGUGAAAGUAUUCGAAUAUUUGUAGACACCUUAUUAUUAAUACGAAUAUAUUAUGACGAAUGUAUUAGAUGUGUUAUUUGGAAUAUUUUGAAAUUUCACUAACACUGUAAUGAGACUCGACUAUCAUGAUUAUAUUGGUAAUGUUUGGAACCUGUUUGAAAAUAUACGUAGAAAAUACAAGAUGUUUGAUUAUAUAUUUCGUACAGACUAGAAAAGGCGUAAACAAGCAUCAGAAUUUAAAGAAUAAGUUAUGUAUUAUAUCAGUAAAUUUCAAUAAAAUGAUAUUUAAUUUACUAUCAAGUUAUUAUUAUGCUCAAGGUGGCUUCUUCUACUGUAUAUUAAUUUUUUACUAAAUAUAUGUUUACAGUAAAUACCAUUCACAUCAAUCAAUAUCAAUACAUCAAUCGUGACAGUCUCAUUACAAUGCUGAUGGAAUUUCAAAAAUGUUUUAUAUAACACAUACGAUGUACAGUGCCAUGAAUAAUAAUAAACACUUAACUCUA